AACUAACUAGGAUUCCCUCAGUAGCUGCGAGCGAACAGGGAUAAGCCCAGCACCGAAUCCCGCGGCCGAUACCGGACGCCGGGAAAUGUGGUGUUCGGGAGGGUCCAUUAUCCCGAGGUUAUGCGAUGCGUCCAAGUCCUUCUUGAACGGGGCCACAGCCCAUAGAGGGUGCCAGGCCCGUAGUGACCGUCGCUAAUCGCGGGAGGAUCUCUCCUCAGAGUCGGGUUGCUUGAGAGUGCAGCCCUAAGUGGGUGGUAAACUCCAUCUAAGGCUAAAUAUGACCACGAGACCGAUAGCGAACAAGUACCGUGAGGGAAAGUUGAAAAGCACUUUGAAGAGAGAGUUCAAGAGUACGUGAAACCGUUUAGGGGUAAACCUGAGAAACCCGAAAGGUCGAAGGGAGAAAUUCAUUCGCGUUUCGACGUAGGCGUCGAACGGUCGUGUGACGGAAGGCGUUCGCGCUAUUUCGCACCUUCAGUUCGUACGAACCGACGGCGAACGCGUGCACUUUUCUCCUGGUAGGACGUCGCGAUCCGUUGGGUGUCGGUCUACGGCUCGCGGUGGAGCCCGUUCGUCGUGUCAAAACGUACGAGCGGACCCGCGUGUCCCGGCCGACCCGCUCGACGGUAUACGAAAGGUUUAAGGCCGCUCUUAUGAGCGUUCGGCUCGUGGCAAGCGCGCCAGAUGCGUUGGCGAUCGGACCUAGUGCCGAUUCUGACCUCUGGUGACUGUUGGCCACGAUGUCCUCGAACAGACC
rnacentral:rRNA from 1 species